rnacentral:rRNA from 1 species
AGUUGCCUAACCGCAAGGAGGGCGCCUACCACGGUGAGCUUCAUGACUGGGGUG